rnacentral:rRNA from 1 species
UACGUAGGGGGCAAGCGUUGUCCGGAUUUAUUGGGCGUAAAGAGCGUGUAGGCGGUUUGGUAGGUCCGCUGUGAAAACUCGAGCUCAACCUCGAGACGCCGGUGGAAACCAUCAGACUAGAGUCCGGAAGAGGAGAGUGGAAUUCCUGGUGUAGCGGUGAAAUGCGCAGAUAUCAGGAAGAACACCCGUGGCUAAGGCGGCUCUCUAGUACGGUACUGACGCUGAGACGCGAAAGCGUGGGGAG